CACAGGUGUAGAACAGGGUACAACAGGUGUACAACAGGGUACAACAGGGUACAACAGGGUACAACAGGUGUAGAACAGGGUACAACAGGUGUAGAACAGGGUACAACAGGUGUAGAACAGGGUACAACAGGUGUAGAACAGGGUACAACAGGUGUAGAACAGGGUACAACAGGUGUAGAACAGGGUACAACAGGUGUAGAACAGGGUACAACAGGUGUAGAACAGGGUACAACAGGUGUAGAACAGGGUACAACAGGUGUAGAACAGGGUACAACAGGUGUAGAACAGGGUACAACAGGUGUAGAACAGGGAACAACAGGUGUAGAACAGGGUACAACAGGUGUAGAACAGGGUACAACAGGUGUAGAACAGGGUACAACAGGGUACAACAGGUGUAGAACAGGGUACAACAGGUGUAGAACAGGGUACAAUGUGGGUAGAGCUUGUGUUUGUGUUGAGCUCUACCUCUUUACAUUGAGCUGUAAU